GAAACUGUCUGACGUUUAAGUGUGUUUUUCUUUCUUUGUUGAAUAGAUCAUUUUGAAAUAGAAUCUCUUAAGUUUGAAAAAUAAGUUACCCUGCUUUUAAUGUUCCUGCAUUUGCAAUAUGUGCAACAAUUUCAACAUGAAUAAAGUAAGCCCUAGAAAAAUAUCUGUUUCCUCUAGUUAGGAUCUAUUUUAAUCUUUGUAUCAACCUGGAAACCAGGAGCUAAUUUUUCUCACUGUCUGGCCAGGUCAGUGAAGGGUUGAUACUAUACCAGCAUAUAGAUCAUGAGAACAGCAGCUCGACUGUGGAGGACUCUUUUACAUUCAUGGCAUCUUCUCCACCUGCAGCAGUUCUUGGCCCUGAGGAAUUCUCGAUUACCAUUUCAUAUGAAAUUAAUGAGCCUGGUAGGCAUAGCCGUCUGCUUGCAAAUACAGGAGCUACUGUCAAGGAGGGAGACAAAGUUCUAAUUGACCAAUCUAAGUUAGAUGCUUCCAAUCUCUUAUUUAAAUUACCCAAAUCUCAGCACUCUUCCUAUGAAGUUUGGUUCCAGGUUACAUCUCUUCCUCAUCAUGGAACCAUCAUGGUUGGAGAAAGAAAUAUUACCAAAGAAAAACCCAAUUUCUCCCAAUACAUCAUUAAUAAAUUUGGAGUGACAUACCUUCACGAUGACUCUGAUUCACUGGCUGAUAGUUUUACCUUUGCUGUUUGGCCAAACAAAAAGAGCAAGUCUGCCACCAAACCAGAGGCUGGUUUUCUUGAAGAGUUGUUUAACAUCACCACAACCCCAGGAAGCCCAGCAGAAUGAAUCCAUCAGGCACAACAAGAAACUAAACGCAAAGGGGGAGAAUCCAACAAAAAUUAAAAGUUAUGACAAUGAUAAU
rnacentral:lncRNA from 1 species